UCGGACAUGGUGUAUGGCACACUCUCGUCUGAUUUGUCGGGGAUAUGAUAAUAAUGAGGCCGAUCGGGGUUCGAUUCCCCGUGUCUGAA